GCGUUCCAAGGGGAUGUGUGUGCGCUCCGGGGAGUGAGACAGCACAGCAGCAGCAGCGCAGCACGACCGGCGCUGGCUCCUCUGCUGCCCGCGGCGCUCGGCGGCCGGAGGAGACGGCUGCUCGCGGUGCCCGCCUCAGGGAGGGCGGCCCGGCCCGCGCUGCCUGCCCGCCGCGCUGCUGCGCCGGGCUGCAGGCGCCUCACGGAACCCACGAGCCUAGUGUCCAAAAGAUGUUCUUACAUUGCUAUCUUUUGCGUGUUGGAAAUUAUUACACUGGUUUGUCUGGGUGAGAAGAAUCAGGAAGAGAAUAAUCCUUCUGUGGCCAUGGGAUAGUGCAGUUGAAAUAUCUUGCUUUUCCUGCCAUCCUCAGUCCCAUUUCCCCAUCACACAAAUAUUAGACUUCAGAGAUGUUCAUCUGAUGCUGGGGAAACCUGACAAGUUCAGGUCCUGGUUCUGAUCCGGUUGCUUCUCAGACUAAAAGAAAGAGAAAAAGAAGUCUCCAGGCUGGAAGGUGCUGGAAGCACCUUCCCACCAGAAUUCACAGUUAGAAGACGCCGGAAGGUUGUUUUGAUCUGAUAUGCACUGGAAGAAGCUUUUUCUGUUUAUUUAAAAUAAAGGCCAGCUUCCAUAUGGCUCUUGUUGCCCCAGCUCUCUGCCAAGGCUUUUCAGUGUGGAAACAUGACUGCAGCAUGUGAGCACUAAUGCACAGACAAGAAGGGAAUGCUCAGAUGCACACGAGAAAAUGACAAGUCCCCUACAAACACAUUCCAGGGUCUUACUAGAAAAAAGGGCUGGACUACAAAGAAAGAAGGAGCAGGAAUU